UUUAUUUAGGGACUUUUAGUAUGUGAUGAUCAUUUGCAAGAAUAGGGAUUUGAUUUUGUAUGGACAUCUUGAUUCUUUUAAUGAAUCCUUUCUCUUUGCUAAAAUAGAAGCUUGAUUCAAUGAAACUCAUUUAUUAUGGAUUUGACUUGGUUCAAAUCCUUUCAUGAAUUUGGUUCUUGAUUUCUUAUGGAGAAUAAAUUCCUCCCUUACUCUUCUUCCUCUUCUUCUUAUUUUUAUGACAAAGGAAGAAAGAAACUUGCAUAUCUUAAGAAGAACCAAAAAGCUUCUAAGCAAAAAUGCUAGUUUCUCACUUUUCAUGCAAAGUUUUUACUUAACUUCUCAUGUUUGUUAGCAUGGAUAAAUUGGU
rnacentral:lncRNA from 1 species